rnacentral:SRP_RNA from 1 species
UGGUGCUAUAUGGGGAGCUAGCGGUGCCCUGUAACUUGCAAACCGCUCUAGCAAGAUAGAACGCCCACCGAGGCUUGUAUUAUGGAAAGCCGAUGCAUAUAAGCGAUGUUGAUACCAAGGUCUUGUGCAACUUGACGUAGUGAACCGUGUCAGGGUUUGAUCGCAGCAGCACUAAGCUAUUUUUCAAGUGUGCCACAAGGAAGCUUUGAGGGAGUUGGCUGUAUGUAUGCCGAUUCGGUAAUAUGUGUCAGAGUGGGUGCACCU